GACGGGCCUCCCCGCAUGGCGGUUUGGAUAACCUGGUCAGGUCGGGAACGAAGCAGCCAAACCCAAUUCUGUC
rnacentral:SRP_RNA from 2 species